UACAGAGACUGCAAGCGUUAUUCGGAUUCACUGGGCGUAAAGGGUGCGCAGGCGGCCAAGUGUGUGAGGCGUGAAAGCCCGAAGCUUAACUUCGGAAUUGCACCUCAAACUACAUGGCUAGAGCAUUGGAGAGGGUAGCGGAAUUCACGGUGUAGCAGUGAAAUGCGUAGAUAUCGUGAGGAACACCAGAGGCGAAGGCGGCUACCUGGACAAUUGCUGACGCUCAGGCACGAAAGCGUGGGGAGCGAACAGG
rnacentral:rRNA from 1 species